UAUGGCCAUAUCACGUUGAAACACCGGUUCCCGUACGAUCAUCAAAGUUAAGCCAUGUUUAGUCAGUAAUUAGAUGGGUGACCGCUUUGGGAAUACCAGGUGGUGUCAG